rnacentral:rRNA from 1 species
GACGAACGCUGGCGGCGUGCUUAACACAUGCAAGUCGAACGGAGAGACAUGGAAGCUUGCUUCUAUGAAUCUUAGUGGCGAACGGGUGAGUAACGCGUAAUCAACCUGCCCUUCAGAGGGGGAUAACAACGGGAAACCGUUGCUAAUACCGCGUACGAUAUGCUUUCGGCGUCGAGAAUAUAUGAAAGGUGGCCUCUAUAUAUAAGCUAUCGCUGAAGGAGGGGAUUGCGUCUGAUUAGCUAGUUGGAGGGGUAACGGCCCACCAAGGCGAUGAUCAGUAGCCGGUCUGAGAGGAUGAACGGCCACAUUGGGACUGAGACACGGCCCAA